AUGGAAGCGGUUUCCGUCCGGACCUCUUUUGGGAACGAGCCACUUCUGCUCCUCACAUCAACACAAACGCAAAUGAGUGCAAGCGGAUAUGGAAGUUGUUGAGAGAUGCUUUUGUGCAAAAAAAGCCCAGUGGUUCUGCUGGUGGCACAAUGCGGAGUGGAAAUACGAGAGACUGAUGUCAUUUCUUGUGCCUUAUAUGCAGCAAAGAAGUUUCAGACACACUUUGGCAGCUGAGCAGGCACCACUUGAUAUGACUGUAGCAGAGGAGGAGGAGCAAGAGCUCUUGGAACUCACUCAAACUUGCACACCCACAACUGACACACAGAGGUCUUCAUCACCAGCACUUCUGCAACCCCACCCCACUCUCUGGCACCGGCACUCCACCAACAAUUAUUCAAAGACCUGACACCCCUACCCCCGCCAUACAUCCAAGGGUACAAGCUCUGAUUUCAGACAGUGAACACUAGAGCUGUGAAUCUUCACCUGCCUCACGAUUCGAUUCGAUUACGAUUCAGAGGGUCACGAUUCAAUGCAUCUUGUCUGCCAUUUUUAUUAUUAAAAAUAU